GUAUUAAAGUGGGCUUUUACUUUCAAAGAACAGCGACGAGACUAGGAAGUAUUUUGGUGGUAGGUCAGGAGGAGCGAUUCCGAGUUUUGAGAUGAUAACAUUAUGUUGCUUCGGAAAGUUCUUGGGUACGUCUUCAGUCGGGAUGUUCCGUUGAAAUGUUGCACCUAUUUAAAGGAUCCAAGUUAGACGUACU